CUGCUUGGAAGAGCAACUAAGUCACUAUGACCUGAGUGAUGGUGCAUCAUUGUGUAACUAUCUUAAUUUGUCACUUUUCAGAAAAUCAGAUGAGGAGAAAAAGAAUGGCAGCAUUUCGUCCCAUAAAAACCAAGAUUUCACAAACUGAUGUGUUUUGGCUGUUAACUUUUACCUUCCUGUCUCAGCUAGAAACAGGUUAACUGCAGCCGCUCAAGGCUUCCCUGAUAAAGGAGAGCAGCAUGAACUGUCUUCUGGGAUUGCUCAGAUGACUUUAAGACAACAUAUGGAUUCCUAUACAGAAGCUUGAGGAAGGCAAGAAAUAGAAGGAAACUCUCCUGCUGUGUCUUCCUUCCUCUCAUGUGCUGGAAGAUGUGGAUAAGCAAGAGUUUCUUCUGCUGUUUCUAACAUUCUCCAUA